AAUCCCUGCGGACAGAGGAGCCUGGUGGGCUACAGUUCAUGGGGUUGCAAAGAGUCGGACAUGACUGAGCAACUAAGCACAGCACACAGCAUCAGCAAACAACCUGAAAGACUGCAUGGUACAGUGACGGGAGGUCCACAGGCUCCGACUCCUGCAGCCGAAGCAGAUGGGAGGACAGGCAUCGUUAUGAAGACCUCACAGCAGAGAGGAUUCAGAGCUGGAAGGAUGAACAAGUGGAGGCAGCUGGGGGCACUAAAGGACACCCCAGGGAAGAAGCUCCCAAACUGUGGUCUACUCCGAGAAUGGUAAAGUUGGAUAUGUUUGUUUGUUUUCUACCCUAAUUAGUUUUCUUUGUCACUGCCUGGGGUGUGGCCACAGGAUCUUCCUGAUAACUUGAUAAGGCAUGUUACUUUGCCUUAAUCUGUUUUCCAGACACCAGCAUGCCCUCUGUUGAUUCCUGUGGGUAGAGGAGUCUGGCAGGCUUUUAUCCAUGCGGUCACAAAGAGCUGGACACAACUGAGCAACCUAGGACAGCACAGACGUGCUAAUGCUUGCGUCCCUUUGGCUAUAGCCCUUCGGCUGUCGGCCUGAGCCUGUGGUGGUCACCUCCAGGUAGAUGAAGAACCCAGAUCCAGAAGGUGGUGAACCAUUUGCACGGAGGGUUAGAUGGAGACCUUAUUUAUAGAUGGGCAAACGUGGCAGGCCAGUGUGGUGGGUGGGUUCAAGAGCAGACCUGCGGUGCCUGGGGGUUCUCUAGAAGACCAAGAGUGGACAGCAAGUCAGAGGAAGAGUAUCAGUGUCUCUGGCUCCCAGUUCCCCUUCUGUCCCUGAGGGGCCUCAUCUCGCACAGCUCUAGCAGUGAGCACGCUCUGCCAGAAGAGGGCAGCAUUGGGAAGCCAUGAGCAGAAGCGCCCUCACCGCGCAGACCCGAGCACCACAUGGCAGGGACAGGGUCCGGCUUUCUGUUUAUCCUAGCAGCAAUCUCUGACAAGAAACAUGAAUUUAUCCGUGAAGUCCUAUCACAUGACUCCUUCAUCUCCUCUCCCUCCCAGCUUCUUAAAGGAACAAUCAUUGAUAUUUAGGCUAUAGAUACCUAACAGGCUAUGUUUUGGUCUAUUUUCUGACAAAAUUUAGAAUAUAGAAUGCAAAUAUCUACACACCGUUAGUGAUUCAGGCCAAAGAGGCACUUUGCUUAAAGUAUAUAGAUUCUGACUAUGCAGCUGGCAAGUCGAAUUUGUAUUCUACCCAGUUUAUUUUUUUCAAAUGAUUGUACAAGUCAUGUAUGAACUUUCUCAACACACGUUUCUUGAGCAUCUGUCUGGAUAAGGGGGAGUUCCAUAGAUACCCAGGUGGUAUAGAUGGAUGACGUGGGAUUGAAAGAAAUGGAUUUUUGAAGAAGGAAGAGGAAGUUCUAAAAAGCAAAAGCAGUAGUGAGUACAGAUGACAGGUACCCCACCC
ensembl:lncRNA